UUAUCCUAAGCUCUUUCUUCUUCUUGUUCAAGGCAAAUUAAUCAAACAUUAUGGGUGUCUAUACCUUUACUGAUGAGUCCACAGCCUCAGUUGUCCCAUCAAGGCUAUUCAAAGCUUUGGUUAUUGAUUUUAACAACCUUGUGUCUAAAUUGAUACCUGAUGUUGAGAGCAUUGAGAAUGUUGAGGGUGAUGGUGGUCCUGGUACCAUCAAGAAGAUCACUUUUGUCGAAGGUUUGUUUUAUGUUUGUUUUUUGAGUGUUCGAUAUUUAUAUUGGAACUCGUCUUGUUGGUUACUUACAUAAUCGAUUCUGAGAAAUAAUCCUCCAAAAUAAUUUUUACACCAGUAGAUCAUCUUUAUUUGUUGAAACAAUAAUAUAUCUUGAAAGCUACAAAUAGAGGUAAUAAAAUUAGUCCAUAAAUAAAUUGAAUCAAUAUAUCCAUCUUAAGUUUGGGCACAUGUUAUUUGACCCGAUCAUUUAUUAACUCAAUCAGUCAAAACUUAGCUAAUAUGUAGCCCAAAUCAAUUCCCAUGAAAUCUUAUCAGAAUAUUUUUCAAAAUGAUAUUUUUUAAAUUGAUGUAUAUAAUCACAAUUAAGGGUGGGCAUGAUAUGGUAUAUACCGAAUUACCAUACUAAACCAAAUUUUUUGAUACCGUGGUUUUUGGUAUUAUGGUAUUUGGUAUGGUAUAUAGUAUACAUUUUAAAUUUUUUUGAUAUAUGAUAUGGUAUACGGUAUUUACAAAUGACAUAGCGAAAUACCGAAUACCAUACCGAAGUAUAUAUAGUUACAUAAGUAAAGUAUACAAAAAAAAAAUACUUAGUAUUAGUAUAAAAAUGUUUAGACUUUGAAACUGUCGCUACUCUAUCUUGAUUGAAAUGUCUUUUUGGUGUAAUUGACUAAUAAAAGGAAUUGUUUGUACUUCUUUUUCAAUAUUUCUACAUGUGUAAUGCAUUUUUAUGAUACAAUUAAGACAUGCUUUUGAAAAGUCGAAGUAAUAAUACUCUAAUAUACGAUAUAUAUUAUCAAAGUUAAACAAACUAUGGUUACCGAUUACCAUACCACAAAAUAUUGAGACCAAACGUCAAAAUGCCGAACUAUACCGAAUUAAUAUGGUAUAGUAAUGGUAUAAUAUUUUUAAAAAUCGAAUAAUGAAAUUAUCGUAUCAAAAUUUCAAAUACGUAUCAUACCAUACCAUGCCCACCCCUAAUCACAAUAAAGAAAAAUACAGUUUUAUAAGGUAGUACUAAAAAUUAUACAAAACAAAUAAAGUAAUUACAACUAGUAAUAAUUGGACAAAUUUGGUUAUGACUUGCAUUUAGAUCCAUAUCAGCUCAACUAUGGAUGGGUCAAAACUCACUCAUCUAUUUCCUCCGUUUCAAAAUAACUGACCCUUAUUAAUUUGAUAUACCUCUUAUUAAGAAAAUAUUUAUUAGAAAUUUAUUUUACUAAAUUAACCUUAUUAAUUAUACUUUAAAAAUAUAAAUUUGAAUAUAUACACUCCAUUUAGUAAUUUAAUGAUACGGAUAGUAUUGGAAGAACAUAAUAAAAUCCUCUUGAUUUCGUCAAAGAGGCAAUUAAAUUGAAAUAAAUAUUUUUAGAAAAAAAAAAUCAACUAAAACAAAAUGGAGGGAGCAUUAACUCAACCUAUUUUGGCCGUCCAAAUUUAAAAUUCACUCCGCUCAUUUAACACCUCCAUUUAUAAAUAUCCUUGACCUUUUAGUAUUAUAUUUACACUAAUAAUGUAUGAAACUUAAUCCUUUUUGUUAAUGACAGGUGGUCCAAUGAAGUACUUGAAGCACAAGAUUCAUGUGAUUGACGACAAGAACUUAGUAACAAAAUAUUCACUUAUCGAAGGUGAUGCUCUUGCGGACAAAGCAGAAUCAGUUGACUAUGAUGCCAAAUUAGAAGGUUCUGCAAAUGGAGGAUGUGUUGCAACCACAGUAACUGUGUACCACACAAAAGGUGACUAUGUUGUUACUGAGGAAGAACACAAUGUGCACAAAGGGAGAGCCAAUGACAUUGUCAAGGCCAUCGAAGCGUACCUCCUCGCCAAUCCUUCUGCCUACGCUUAAAUAAUGAAAAGAAAAUUGUGUGUUGUUGUGUCUUGUAUUUAUUAUUAAAUAAGUAAAAGUUGUUGUGCCUAAGAAGUUCAAAGAUUUAGAUGAGACGAAAAAAACUGAUUGAUUAUAUAUGGAGUUGUAUCAAAUUCUUCCAUGGGAUUGAAUUUUACAUUGUUAAGUCUUUUAUUGAUUGUGUGUUUUCAGUUGUAUGUCAUGGAAAGAACUUUCAAUAAAGAGUAUCACGAGUUUAGUUAUCGAAUGCUUCUCCUAAACCUCACAUGUAUAGUUAGAUUAGAUUCAUGAUUUAAAUUUUAUAAAUUUUGUACUACGGUUAUAGUUUAAUUCCGUCAAAUUAUUUUAUUUAAGUAACUUUUGAGCCAAUUUUAAUCCAACAAAUUUAUUAAUUCAAUUCAUUUUGAUCCACUCAAACCAGCUCAACACAUCCAUUUGAAUUCAAAACCUUUAAUUGACAAUAAAGAAACACUUACUACCACACGCGAUCGGCAGUGGUGGAGCUACACUUGCAAUAGGGGUUCAUCCGAACCCCCUUCGAUGAAAAAUUAUACUAUAUAUACAUGGUUAAAAUUAUUUUUUAUGUAUAUAUAGUAGAUGUCGAAUCCCCUUCAGUUAGUUCGUAGAUUCACUUGUAAACCUCUUCAAUAAAAAUUCUAGCUUCGCCACUGACGAUCGGUGAACCAACAAUAUGUUAGUAAGCAUGAUCAAUUUGUGCUUUGGCUUGGCCACAUGACAUAUAUACAUGGUUAAAAUUAUUUUUUAUGUAUAUAUAGUAGAUGUCGAACCCCCUUCAGUUAGUUCGUAGAUUCACUUGUAAACCUCUUUUAUAAAAAUUCUAGCUUCACCACUGACGAUCGGUGAACCAACAAUAUGUUAGUAAGCAUGAUCAAUUUGUGUUUUGGCUUGGCCACAUGACAUAUAUUAUUUCCAUCUUCGAUAGUCUAUAGUUUCCUCACUUUAUAGGAUAACUUACAUCUGUUGAGGUAUAAAAUUUUGUAUAUGUUCGUGUUAUACUAGUUUAGUUUAGCUGCAGGUGUCUCACAUGUGUAACGUUGAUUAUUUAAAAUUAAAUAAUUUUAUUUAUUGCAGAAAUUUUUAAUAAAGUGUAGAAGUUUAAAUCACUUUUCAAAGAUUCUUCACACUUUAAUAUAAUAAUGUAAACAUAAAUAUAUUUUUUAGUGUAAGCACAUAUAUAUUUUACAUCAUCACUUUUACAUUUUGAUUACAUUCUUAUUACGUGCUUAAAACUUUUAAAAAAUUGGUACUUCUUAAAUUUUUCUUCUUUCAACGCGUUUACAUUUCUUUCUAAAUUUUUCAAAUCUUCUUUAAAUCAAAUUUAAUUGAUUUAGAAUUCUAAAAUUAAUGAAAAAAAUAUCAGUUGUCAUUAAUUCUCAUGACUUCUAAUAAGCUAAGGUUUUAUCAUAAAUAUAUUUGACUAAUUUUCAACUCUUAAAUAUCAAGAAAAAAUAGUGAAAAAAUAAUUUUAUCUAAAACAAAAACUUUUAAUGAAAGUUAAAAAGUUCAAACGACAUUUUUAAGAUUGUUCAUACUUUUGAUAUAUUAUAGAUAUAGAUAUGAGGUGUAUUAUUUAUGAAUAAAUUAUUCUGGUCAUGGGUGGAUCUACGGGGAACCCCUAUCCGUUAUUAUAGAUCUCAAAAAUAUAUUUAAAAAAUAGAAGAAGGCAAUAAAAAUUUAUAGAUAAGAACUCAUAAAUAAAUUGGAGGUUGGCUUGAUGAGAUAGAAAAAAACCCUUCUAAUUAAUUGCUUAUGUGUCCACGUUAACAUGGGGUCGAUCCUUGAUGGGAUUGUCCUUUUUAUGGUGUUUAAUUUACAAUUUAGAAACUCACUUAACUAAUAUCCGUUUAAGUUAUGAAGGAAUCUAUGUAUUAUUUUAUGUAAAAUAGAAGGUGGAAUAAAUAAUACAUGUAUAACUAAUACAUGAAAAAUUAAUUCUUAUAUAAUUCUAUUUUAAUUUAAAACAGGUCCCAAAUUGGACAAAUUAUUUUGGACGUUAUAAUCACAACAAGAGCUAGUAAAGACGGAAUAUAUUAUAGUCAUUGACUAACAGGAUCCCUAUCUUUACUAAGAGAUUUGGAUUUUAGCUUCUGAGAAUGAAAGAAAUUAUGUGGAAAAUCGUUGCCCUUAAAAUUAAAUUUGUAGCAUUCAAAUUUAAUCGAGCGAAUAUCAAAGAUUGGGUAUAUUUUGAUUUAAAUCGCAAAAAGUCAAAUCGAAAAUUAAUUUUGGUUUCGAUUUUUUGAUUUUUCAAAUUGGUUUUAACUUCAAAUUUUUUAAAUUCGAUUAAACGGUUUGGUUUUCAAUAACCCUAAUAAUAAGUAACCCUAAUCUUACGAUUUACGUACCUAAAUUCAUGGCUUGUGGUAUUUUUGUGGUGAUUAUUAGAAUUUAUAGUCGUUGACUUGUAGAUUUGUGAAUUGAUAGAUAACAUUGGAAGCAACAACAACUUUUCAUAUUCUUGUUGUAUUGCUGCUUUCCAUAUUUUCUUAAGUCUUACUCCCUUCAUUUCAUUUUAGUUGAUUUUCUUUCUAAAAAUAUUUGUCUCAAUUUAGUUGUCUCAUUGACGAAAUCAAAAGGAUUUUAACAUGUUCUUCCAAUAAUAUCCUUAUCAUCAAAUGACUAAACAAGUUGCAUAUAUUCAAAUUUAUAUUUUCAAAGCAUAAUUAAUAAGGUUAAUUUGGUAAAAUAGCCCCCUAAUAAAUAUUUUUUUUAAUGGGUAUGUCAAGGCAAUAGAGACCAACAAAAAUGAAACAGAGGGAGUAUAUAAUAAGCGACACCUGUGAUGCUUGAUGUGUUUGUAUCAUCAACAUGUCUGUAUCAUCGAUAUGUUUGCUUGGUAUUUCACGAGGAAUUGACAUAGAUGUACAACAUUUCAAAAUCAAUCAUGACAAAGGAAUGUUCGCUACUUUAAUCUUCAAAGCCAAAAUAAAAAUUCAAAAUAAUUAAACCGAUCAAAUUUGUAGAAAUCGAGCCAAACCGAAAUUAUUUUGGUUUGGUUAGGUUGUUAUUUUCGUCAAUCUGAAAAUCGAAGAAUCAAACCGAUAUUAAACAACCAAAUCGAACAAACCGAAUGCCCACUCCUACGAAUACCAAGUAUAGUAAAUAUACUAUUAAAUAUUAUUUAUUUUACCAAUAUUUAAACUACUUAUAAUUAUGAAGAAUAAUAUAUUAAAAUUAUCUUUUUAAUUAUUAUCUUUUUAAUAAUUAUAUCAAGUCAAAUAUGAUCAACUAAAAAUUAACACAAAAAAUUACUAUAUUAAUAUGAUACCAGCGUUGAAUAUGAGCACAUUAUUAUUAUAAAUAAAAGUACCUUUUAGGACGACAUCAGUAAAUUCAAACACAUGAGACUGUAAGUUUCAUUUUUUGAAUGAAUGAAACUAAAUAAUUUUAAAUUUUAAUAAUUACUAUUAAAUACUGAUAACAAUAUUCGCAAACGAAAUUAUUGGUAGAUUCCCACCGUCCAAAUUAACUUAAUAUAAUAUCGUGUCAGCAAGCCUCAUUGUUAUAUACCAUUUGGCAUAAAAUUCUCAACAAAUUAAUUAUUAAGACAAUGAGACACAAUAUAGGGAAAAAAAUAAUUAAAAUGGACACAAAAUGUCAACAAUGGAGUGCUCUGAAUGAUGAAAUUAAGAUUAAAUUAAGGCUGCUCAUUACUGACUUCUAAGGGUGUGUUUGCGUACAAAGAAAAAUGUUCUCUAUGAAAUAAUAUUUCUUUGAAAAAACAAGUAGCUUCCGUUUUUUUUUUUAAAUAUGUAAAAAAUAUUAUCUCAAAAAUAUUCAUAAAUAAUCUAAAAAACACUAUAGAGAUAAGGCGAAGCGGAGAAUGAGGAUCGGAGGUAGUCAAAGGGUUGGGGUUGAGAGCGGCGGGAGGACAAUGAAUUUAAAAUAUGGUAUAGAGAACUUGUUUUUUCUACUCUCUUUAGAAAAAUUAUUUUUAUGAUAUUUAAGAAAUUUUGACAAUAGCAUCUAAAUGCAAUACAACAAAUGAGAUCUGAAAAUAGUAGUGUGUACGCAUAUCUUAUUCUUAUCUUAUGAGGGAAGAUAGAAAUACUCUUUUUAAUAGACCCUCGACUCAAGUAAAGUAUUUCAAAACAAGUGAAGAAGUCAUAUUGAAAAUAAUGAAAAGAUUCUUAAGAAACUUAAUUUUCUUAAAAUAUACGGAAAAAGGUCUAAAAUGCCCUUCAACUAUGUGAAAUGGUGCAAAAAUGUCCUCCGUCUACCUAUUGGGCCUAAAAUGUCAUUCACGUUUAUCUAUUGGGCCUAAAAUGUCCUUCAACUAUGUAAAAUGGUGCAAAAAACGCCCCGUCUACCUAUUGGGCCUAAAAUGCUCUUCAACUAUGUAAAAUGAUGCAAAAAUGCCCUCCGUCAUAAAAAUUCAUGGUAUAUUUAUAUCAUAAAAAUUCAUAAUAUAUUUAUAUCAUAAAAAUUCAUGAUAUAUUUAUAUAUUAUGCAUAUUAUAUUUAUAUCAUAAAAGUACAUGAUAUAUUUAUACCAUAUAAAUUAUAUUUAUGCCAUAUAAAUUAUAUUGAUACCAUAAACAUAUUUUGUAUAUUUUAGAUAUAAAAAGUUUACACCAUAUAAUACUGAAAAUAUAUAUUUAUAUUCAAUAAAUAAUUUUAUAACAAGAAAAGUACUUUCGAAAGAAUGAGAUAUACCAUGAAUAUUUAUCUUAUAAAUUAUAUAAAAAAUAUAAUAAUAAUUUGACUUUGACAUAAAUUAUAUUUACGGAACAAAAAUACAUGGUAUAUCUGUACUUCUAACAUAAUAAUUUUUAUUCCAUAAAUAUUUAUCCAUAAAAAAUUAUGGUUAAUCCAUUGUAUUACAAUUAAAAAUACACGAUAAUGAAAUAAUACUAGAUGAUUAACAUGAAGCAAAAUGAAACGCACACGAACAAAUAGUAGAAUACUUAGUUUAUUUAAAAAUAUUUGAAUUUUGAAUAUAAGAGAGAAAAAGAUUUGAAAGCAGAGAUUAUCUUUUCCACUUUUAAUUUGAAUAUUGAAAAAUAUCUCUCUUAAAUUAAGGUUGAAGGAGGGCAUUUUUGCACCAUUUUACAUAGUUGAAGGGCAUUUUAGGCCCAAUAGAUAGACGGAAGGCAUUUUUACACCAUUUUACAUAGUUGAAGAGCAUUUUAGGCCUAAUAACUAGACGUGAAGGGUAUUUUAGGCUCAAUAGAUAGACGGAGAACAUUUUUGCACCAUUUCACAUAAUUGAAAAAUAUUUUAGGCCUUUUUCCAUAAAAUAUAUUUUGAUAUUUUAACUAAUCAAGCAUGAAUGAAUUUUGUUCAGCAAAAGUUUACUCCAUAUACCAAACACACCCUAAAAUCACACUCCACUUUUUCCUAUAAAUACCAUCUAAAACUCCCAUAUAUCACACACCUCAAAGCAUUAUAAUCAUCUUAUCCUAAGCUCUUUUUUGUUUCUUUCUUUAUUCAAGGCAAAUUAAUCAAACAUUAUGGGUGCCUAUACCUUUACUAAUGAGUCCACAGUCCCAGUUGCCCCAUCAAGGCUAUUCAAAGCUUUGGUUAUUGAUUUUAACCACAUUGUAUGUAAAUUGAUGCCUGAUGUUGAGAGCAUUGAGAAUAUUGAGGGUGAUGGUGGUGCUGGAACCAUCAAGAAGGUCACCUUCGUGGAAGGU
rnacentral:lncRNA from 1 species